AAAAAGAAAGCCCGCGAGGAGCAACAAAGACCCAACGCAGACAAAAAUAAGAAGUAGCUGCAAGGAGGAGGCUAUUCCCAGGGCUUUGGUCUGUACACACUCCCCAUACCUGAAAUUUUAUUGGAAUUGUGGAAAUGGGGCAGUGGUUUUACUUUUCACUCUGCCUUCAGUGGGGCUCCCUGGAAGAAGUGCUGUGCCAGUGACUGGUGUUUCUCCUGAAUAAAGCAUCUUGGCCUUAA